UUCUCUUCUAAACUGCAGUUUCAAUUAUCAGGCAAGCAAAUUCUUUUGUUUUUGUUCUUACCUAUAAUUUUUUCCUUGAAUUCAUAUUAAUUCUUUUUUUAAUUCCUAGGUGGAAGAUGCCUUUUGAAUAUACUCCUCUUUCAAAUCUCAAAUUCUAUGAAAAAAGAAUAGUAUUAUUGGUUUUGAAGCAAUCCUUGUGGAUGCGAAGGUAAAUAUUUGUGUGAUUAUAGUUAUUUAAACUUAUUAUUACAAUAUAAUUUUUUUUUUCAAAAUCUGUUUAAAAUAACCAAUAUAUGUAUACACUUUUUUAAAAGAAAGCAAAACACCAUAAGUCCAUUUAACCAAAGAUACCUAUACUCUGGUGUUUUUAAUGCUAUUGUCUAUGAAUAUGUCACUUACCUUUUAUUUCUCACCAUUCUCUAUUUGGUUGACAGGGACAUCAAUUUGCUGUGAAACAAUUCUUUUAUUUCUUCUGUGAAACAAUUUGCUUCAAAAAUUCCAAAACAAAUUGUUGGAAGGAAAGUGUUAUGAUAUCAUGAAUUUUGAAGUCGUUCAUAACCAUGGUGACUACAAGGGAACCAUACAUCCUUACAAGAUUAACUUCAUCUACACAACAUUUGUCAAACCGUGUGAUCAGAUUCCAA
rnacentral:lncRNA from 1 species